rnacentral:lncRNA from 1 species
ACCAGACACAGGCAAACGACAAACCACAGAUCACAGAUGAGGAAGGAGAGGCACAGUAUACCUAUUUCCUCUUUGUAAAGACUUCUGGCAAACAUUGCUGGAGGUGGAGCGUCUACAGACUCUCAGUCAGCUGUUGGAGGCCUACCUGGAGUGGAAGAGACAGGAGCCACUCUUCUGGUGCUGGAUGGAUAGUGUUGUGGACAGCCAGCUCUCAGACCUGAGAGAGGAGGACACUGUAGAGAACAUGUCACCUGUACACCAAGUUGUCAAUAGGUGCUUUCCCUACGGUUACAAGGACAAGGAGGGUCUGGAACAACUGGACAACAUGCUGCUGAGGCUGCAGACAGGGCUGAAGGACACAUACACAAGACAGAGCAGAAAAGCGCAGAGUGUUCUUCAAGACGUUGAGGAGUUGGAGGAGAUUGAGAGGAGAGUGGCUCUCAGGCUGCAUGGCUUGGCUGAGUCCUGUACUUCAACUCCUACAUCUGGUUGCUGUAGUUACAGGCCAAGUCUCCAGGGGCCACAGCCACUUCCCAACCACCACCAGUCUUGGAGGUCAGGGUCUGUGCUCCCACAAGCCUGUGACGGGGCAGUGCUGCCAGGCAAGGUGUCUGGGACGGGCACGGUGAUGGUCCAAGUCCAGGCCUCCUCACUGAUUGUCGAGCUGCAGCAGAGAGAGGGCUUCCUGCUGGGGGAACUGGGCCAGAUGAGGCAGGCGAAGCGGGGACAGAUCCAGGAGAAGACAGCCAGCUGGCUGGAGGGGGCUGGAGUUGUCCUCAUCCCCCCUCUCCCUCUCAAGAGAUAAACACUAACAGGAUGCUACUUCAGGGUGUCUGUGUGUGCAAGCGAGUGAACAGGAUGCUGUUCAGCUUGGUGGCUGACAGACUGUCUGUCCUAGAAAUAGAAUGACUAGAAGGUGCAAAGCUGCUCGGCAAUUUGUGGCUAUCUGUUCUAUUAAUUAUAUUUCUACGGCUACUGCUAAUAUAUUGUGAUGGGAUGGACUGCAUGUGAUAUAUUUCAAAUGACAUCUGUUGAUAUCAAGAUAUUUGUGUGUGUUGAUGUAAUCCACUGUGGGAGAGAACAUAAACACCUGUGUGGGCUGGCUGUUAAGUUGCUGUGUUGUUUUUUUUCUUGUGUCUUAUCUUUUCUCGGUGCCAAGCUUUCAGGAGAG